rnacentral:rRNA from 1 species
GAUGAACGCUAGCGGCAGGCCUAAUACAUGCAAGUCGAACGAUAGAAGAGGGCUUGCUCUCUUCGAAAGUGGCGCACGGGUGCGUAACGCGUAUGCAACCUACCUUAAUCAGGGGGAUAGCCCGAAGAAAUUCGGAUUAACACCGCAUAAAAUCACAGUACAGCAUUGUACAAUGAUCAAAUAUUUAUAGGAUUAAGAUGGGCAUGCGUGACAUUAGCUAGUUGGCGGGGUAACGGCCCACCAAGGCGACGAUGUCUAGGGGAUCUGAGAGGAUGACCCCCCACACUGGUACUGAGACACGGACCAGACUCCUACGGGAGGCAGCAGUAAGGAAUAUUGGUCAAUGGAGGCAACUCUGAACCAGCCAUGCCGCGUGCAGGAAGACGGCCCUCUGGGUUGUAAACUGCUUUUAUUCGGGAAUAAACCUCAUUAUGUAUAGUGAGCUGAAUGUACCGAAGGAAUAAGGAUCGGCUAACUCCGUGCCAGCCGCCGCAGUAA